rnacentral:rRNA from 1 species
CCCCAAUGGACGAAAGUCUGAGGGAGCGACGCCGCGUGAAUGAAGAAGCCCUUCGGGGUGUAAAAUUCUUUUCUUUAGGAAAAAUUCGUGAUGGUACUAAAGGAAUAAGGGGCCGCCAAACUCGUGCCAGCAGCGGCGGUAAUACGAGUGCCCCGAGCGUUAUCCGGAAUUACUGGGCGUAAAAGCGCUAAAAAGGCGGUUUGAU